rnacentral:lncRNA from 1 species
UUUUCAUCUAAUAGCUUUUUCACCUCCAUACCAAGAAGGCCCAACCAACAGUCGAUGAAAGGUUUGUCAACUUUCUCCACACAGGCGGGCAGCUCAGAAGAUAGCAACCCAUCAUCGGCUCUGCCCGUGCGACCGUGGUACUCAUUUAUCAUUGUGUCACAUAUGCUGAGGAUGCUCACCAUGCGGUUGUAAUCGACCACGCAGAAACUGAGGGAACGCAUUGUAGACGUGCCAUUUUUGGUGUCGUGCAUCAUUUGUUUGACAUUGUCAUUGGCCGUGGCAACUUGUCCCUUGAGUAUAUCAAUGGCGACGUGUACCAGGCUAUGGACAUCUUUAGCCUCGGCGCUCCGAUUGUCCAACUUGAGGCUCAACACACAAAACUCCUGUGUGAUUGGGUUGGGGUCGUAUAUUUGGCUUUUCGUUGACGCAUUCUUGCACGCUUCCACCAUGAAGUUGGUCGCCUUGGGGUUUCCACCACCAGAGGCAGUAGAUUCAGUUGCGAUGGUAGUGGAAAGGAGCAUGAUAGUGAUGGCAGAGAAGAGGAUGGAGGUCACCGACAUUGUUGCCGUUGCUAUAAGCCUAGUUGGAAGUCUUGAAAUGUGUCGAAGUUGGCGAAGGUGGAGAUAAAUGGAUAUAGAACGAUGAGUAGGGAAGAGAUGGAUUGAUAAAGUGAUGUGCGAGGGUUGAGAUUUUUAUAUAGAAAUAAGUGGAGGUUCAGAAAUGCAGUGUGUUGCUUAGCCAUAGAUAUACGAAUUAAUAGUGCUAGCUAUAAAAAUAUAUUGAUCCUCGUUUUAGAUCAUCUUGCAUUACAGUAUUAGUUCCCUCAAUAUUCGCAAAUAUAUGGAUGCUUAUUUUAGAUCUUCCCCGUAUAAACACACAUAAAGUUCCCAUGUGUUCAUUAAUGCGUUAAGUCUUGAUUAAGUAGUAUUGCCAAAUAAUUAGAGCCCGCAUAAUACGUGGACACAAAUAGGUGGAUCUUCAUGUCCUCGCAUUAAUACUUCUACUAAUUGUGCACACAGAUAUGUGGGUGUUCAUUUUGGAUCUCCUCUCAUUAAUACUUCUUAUUUGCAUUUGUGUGUUGAAGAUAUCCUUUUGCAUAACUGACUUUCUAUCUCUGUGCAACAUUUAGAAUCGAUUAUAGUGACCCUUAACAUUUCAGUGAUUGCACAAAGUUUUCUCUUUUUUUUGCAACUUUCAAGUUGUACAUCUCUACAGCCAAACUUACAAAUAAUUCGUCAAGGUGCAAACAUUUAGUUUCAAACUUUAAAUGUCAAUAAUAAAAACUAGAGGGAAUUAAAAAAUUCCUAAAAUGCGUGUGAUUGGUUCCUCUUAGCUAAAAAAACUAGGAGUUGUGAAUGUGGCUCAAAUAAAUAUUUGGCAAUUAUAAGAACUCCAAUUGUCAUUUGGGGAUUAUUUAUAAAACCCAACAGUUGAGCCACAUACAUAUGACUAACCAUGUGUGAAUUGUUUUGUGAUGGAAAUAAAAUUAUGCAAGACCCAAAUAUUGGAAACCUUAAAGUCAUCUAAAGUUUAAACGGAACUAGAAGGGAAAUUGGGAACUAAAAUAAAUCUCUCAAAUUAAGCUGACAAACCAAAUAUUUUAAAUGGGCACCAAAAUACAAAUACCACAAAACUCGAAUAGGAAAAUAAGCCUGAUUUGGAAAAUGAGAAUAAAUCAAGUGAGAAUGUAUACAGAGGGCUUAAUACUUAUUAUGGCAGGAAAUUUAUUUCCAUAAAUCAUAAAUAAAGGUUUUGAACUUCUGGUAAUAUCCCAAAAUAAAAUUGGAGCAAGUUUGGUGUUGAAACUAAUUUGAAAUUUAUACAGAAAUGUAAAGAGAAAAAGAAAAAGGAAAUAAAAAGAAAAUGACCAGGUCCAACCAAUCAAGCGAGCUAGCCCAGCAGGCCCAACCAAUAGCUGCAGGCAGCCGAGCAUCCCAGCCGCCAAAGUGGUACAUGUCGUUUUAUCUAAGGCGUCGGAUCAACAUCAAACCGCUAAUGUGCGACCCGCAUACCUCUUUCUUCUCUCUCCCUUUCACUACUAGGUGGGACCGCCCACGUCUUUGUCAACCUCUAGCCAAGAUCAUCACGCCCACGAUCGCAUCACGACCCAAGCGCAUGUUGCCCGUUCCAAUCGCCCCAGUGCACGCCCAGCCUCGUGGCCAUGCCCUAUAAGAUCUCGCCCCGGCCUCAUCUAUUCACCCCACUCCACGUCCGACAUUGCCGCCGGGUUGAUCCGGCACAGAGUUGAUUAGUUUAUAAUAGGUCCACAUUUACAGUUAAUUGUAUGGCCCAUUUCCAAAGCCGCAACCCAUUUGAGGCACUAAACAGUGUAGUGUGCUCUAAAUUCCCACCAUAGUUAGUAAUGUAGUGACAUAUUAUCCUCAUGAAACUUUGAUAACCAUUUUGCAUGUACAUAUUUAGGAAAAUAAUUUUCCUUUAUAAGGGUAUUUAUUUUGUGCAUCAUAUUACCCACUAAAAAGAGGUGUGAAUAUUUAGAAGUGAAAAUAUCCAUAAAAAGCCCAUACUUGUAGGUUCUGGGGUAAACAGUGUCCCUUUAAAUUUUUCUAAAAUAAAUUAAGACCGUCCGCAUUCAUGAUGGCAAACAAAGAAAACCUUCACAUCGUGUUUUAUUUGACACAUCAUAGAGGCAAGUUCAUCCGUAGCACCCAAAAAAUAUUGCCAAAGUGGGUACCUAUUUAAUUAUUUGGAUAAUAAUACUUCACAUUUACUAACCUGAUUUAUUUUUAAUAAAUAAACCACGUCCAUGCAGAAAAUACACUAAUUAAGUAGUACUACAAUUGUAAGGGAUUUUUUGUUGACCAUGUCAUACCAGCGGACGGGGAAUAUCAUCAGGAUUUCCUUAUCGAUUUUGGUGGAUAGAUAUUAGAUAGUUCUGGAUCGCAAGAGAUGUUAUAUAUUGUAUAUAUGCAUGAUCGUGUACUAUAUGUAGUAGCGUCGAGUUGUUCGACCAAGCACGGAUCAAGAGAUGUCACUUUUCUCUAUAUAUGUUCAUGACGAUAUUGUGUAAUUAAUGGUUCCUUCAAUUGCUUACUAGCUAGCGUCGAGUUCUCUCUGUAUGUAGUAGCUACUGUCGACCAAGCACGAAGAAAGCGAGGUCACUUCUCUCUAUAUGUAGUAGCUAGCUAAAACAAUAUGAAACUCCUAAUAAAACGCUCGAAAAACUCUACCCCCCCCCUUUCAAAAAACACAAAAAAACCAGCGCCUGCAAGUUGCUGACGCGGGGCUGCCUUUUGAUCUCGGUUGGUGUUACCAACCAGGACUAAAUUUAUUCCUGCCUGGGCGCCCUGCAACGGCCACGUGGAACACCUUUGGGUUCUGUUCGUAAGCCAACCGAAACUAAAGCUUUGGGCCUUUAGUCCCGAUGGUUCUCUCGGUUGGAGAACCGGGACUGAUGGCCCUUUUCCUACUAGUGGCAUGGAGUAGCUGUGCGAUAGUUGUUUUCUAGACAGCUUUCUAAUCAACUUUCUUGCAUACACAUAUAUCAGAAGCAAACGUGAAAGUAAAAUUAUUGACACAUAACAUUAUUUUCAAUCCAAGUGAAGGUAAACAGAUGUUACAAUAACACAAUUUCAUGUAGAAAAACAAAAAAUGGAUCAUUAAACCUGUAUGAUGGUAGCAAGGAAAAAGUUGAGAUUGACCAACAUGCCCACCGCAAAGUUUUCAUCUAAUAGCUUUUUCGCCUCCAUACCAAGAAGGCCCAACCAACAGUCAAUGAAAGGUUUGUCAACUUUCUCCACACAGGCGGGCAGCUCAGAAGAUAGCAACCCAUCAUCGGCUCUGCCCUUGCGAUCGUGGUACUCAUUUAUCAUUGUGUCACAUAUGUUGAGGAUGCUCACCAUGCGGUUGUAGUCCACCACGUAGAAACUGAGGGAACGCAUUGUAGACGUGCCAUUCUUGGUGUCGUGAAGCAUUUGUUUGACAUUGUCAUUGGCCGUGGCAACUCGUCCCUUGAGUAUAUCAAUGGCGACGUGUACCAGGC